UUCUAAUCUGUCUGUUCUUCAACAAAAACACAGCGAUCUCCGUCACCAGUUCUGUGGAUUGUUGACCAGCAGAAGAGAGGAAAUUUGUUCCAAGGAUUUGGUCAGAUAUGGAGACCGGUGUUACUUGUUCUCCACGUUUGAAAUAUCUUACAAUGGAGCUCGUCUACUUUGUUCAAACAUUGAUUCAAUGCUCCUGGAAAUCAAUUCGCAGGAUGAAGCGAAUUUUAUCGAGAAAGCUGUCCACGACCAAGGCAGUUCAUACUGGAUUGGAAAAUGCGAA